CUCAGAGACUCUUCAUUUCCCCUAGGAACAGAGUGCUCUCUGUGCUGUUGCAUGCAUUGCACACUGUUACUGGCUUGAGCACUUUUUAUUCAGGCCAUCUAUAGUCAGGCGCAGAAUGAGAUUCCCAGAAGUCAAUGAGGGGAGGAAAUGUUCAGCCUGAAAUUUCCUUAUUUCAAUUAUACAAGCUUUUGGGUUCUCAUUUUUGUUUACAGUAGUUCUGUAUUUUGUCCAGAAACUGAACUUCAUGGUGGGACAUCUGGCAAUCUUUGCCCUUCUGAGACUUCUCUCCCAUUAUUGCAAAGUUCUGACUGAAAUCACCUAGCAUAUGGGGAGGAAAAUCUAGGUUUAUUGCUCUCUCUUGAUACAUUAUGGAUCAGGUAUUGUCAUAGACAGGCUAGCUGCUGUUUGCUUUCUUACUGCAAAUAAAUACUGAGUCCACAGAGAGGAACAAUAGGAAUAAAAAUGGAAAAAGGGAAAAGGGUAGUGGCACUAAGGCUAAGCAUAGAUGUUUAUUUAGGCAAACCUGCAGAGUUGAAUUACUCUUCUCAGAGGCCCAGCAUGAGAGUCCCAGUGGUAUAAUGUAAGAAAAAAUGGCAUACUAAGCUGUGCCUAGUUGUAGCAUCAUUUUUUUCUUUCUUUGGAAGAAUCAUGCAUGGCAGGAGAAAACACACAAGUGUUUCUGCAUACAGAGGGAGAGUCCUAACUGCUCAUAUGACAUGCACAAGAAUUCACGUGAAAAGAAAUUUUGGUGCAAGGAGCUGUGAGUUCCCCUUUAAAAGAAAGGAUUAACCUUAACCGUGCACUGCAUCAUUCAGUUGACCUGAUAGACUUUGGUCAUGACAGCACUUCGAAGAGGGAAUUCUGGCACAUAUCGGUGGGGGGUGGGGGUGGGAUCUGGAGAAUAUUCUGCUGCAAAGAAUACAGAUGGUGGUUUCACUUGAAGGUGAGCUAUGAGGUCAACAGUGUGCCAGGUGGGAGACAGCCAAAAUAAAUCAAGAAUGAUGUGUCAUUUCCCUUUUUGUUUCACAGCAAAAGAUGGCGUAUCUAGACAUCGAGAUCGCACUAGAGGUUAUCAAGGACAGGCUAAAACUAUAUAAUAUAGUUCAACAUAGAACCACAAUAUGUACCUGUAUGUAUCUAGAGGCAGAAGUGGCCAGGAAAUUAUUUUUGCCGUAUGAAAUAAAAAAGUUUCAAAGGAAAAAAAAAAGAAAAUAAUCAAUAUUUUAUGGAUUACCAUCAAAACCAAUGAAUAUGAUUUUGUAGGAUUGUAUUAAUCAAAACCAAAUGGGUUUGGGACAGAAAUAUUUCAAGUAAGUUGAUGGAAACUAAAACACAAUACUUGCUUUUGCACAAAAUUUUCCAUUCUGUUAAAAGUGUUUUACAGCCACAGAAACCUUUCACACAGAAAAGCUUUGAUAAUGCAUGUAGAAGACUCAUGAGAUGGAGCAACACCAUCUUAAACUUGAACAUAUGUAUGAGGCAUAAGAAAUAUGCUGAGGUGGCUCCAUGUCCCUGCACCUGGGGAAUGUGACAGCAAUAACAGUCCUGGAACCUGAUACAGCUCAUGUUCAGGAAGGGCAGAAGUAAUCCAAAUUUCCCAUUUGCCACCCCAACUUCAUCUCCAGUGAUCACCCUCCUCAGACCGGGGCUGGUUAUUUCCUUGUCUUCUGCAAGUUCUCUUUGUGCUGAUAUUAGCUCUGCUCCUUUGUUGGGUGAGAUGUACACCACAAUGGGGACUGAUUUUUCCUGUCUUCUCCCUCUAAUGAAUCACCAUCCUAUUUUCUUUAGCACUUGUAAGGCUGUUUGCAAAAAAAGGGAACUCCCUGUCCCUCCAUUGCUCCUAUUCUGUGAUAGCCAACAUCAGGAAACUUCAACAUUUUAUUUGGUGCAAAAUGGUGUCCUGAAUUAGAUGUCAACCUAUUAUCAGAGGUAACUCUGAUCAAAGUAUUGUUAAAGUAGGAAGGACUGAAAUGAUGAAUGACUUCUCAUGGAAAAUGAUUAGAGUGUGGCUGAAAAAGCUCCAACUUAAUGACUCAGGAGAAUAUCAUCUUGAGAGCCAUUUCCAGGGGAGAAACAAACUACUGAAAUAGGCUCAUGCUGGAAGUUUUGGGUGAGUUAAUCAAAGAAUUAAUGAUCUUCUAAAAGUCAGCAAUUUCUUACCACUUGACAAGAAAGAUUACAGGUCAAUGUUAAAGAACUCUCUUCUGAGUCUGGAAAUUUCCUGAGACACAGAUAAUUCCUGAAUUUCUUCUUUUUAAACAGAUUUUUGAUACAUACUAAUGGUAUAAACAAAUUGCAGCCAACUGGUGGGGGGAGUCUAGCUUGGCUUCAUUGACUAAUGCAAUUUUACAUUUACACCAGCAGAUGAAACAGACUCCAAGCAAUCUGAAUCUUUGCCUGAAUUUCUACCUGAGUUCAUUCUUUGCCACUGCUCAUUAGUACACUUCUGUAUUUGUUUUAAUAUUUGACUUCCUUUUCUGCUUUUAGCCAGCAUGGGAAGCAGAAAAACAGAAGCUGCUUAGUGGAAGCUAUUCUUUGAUUUUUCUGACAUGACUGAAAAAUGUGUACGGGAAUCACACGGCGCAUUGCUUUUCUAAGAUGCUUCCUCUCUAACAGCAUUCAAAUGCCCAAAUAAGCAAUUCAGUUUUCAUAUCAUUCUCUAAAACGGUAUGAAUUUGCAUGGCUGACCUAUACCUUCUACAAAACUUGUCUCCUGCAGGAACUGUCCUUUCUGUUUGAUCUGUCACAGGACCCAAACUUGUAAGGAAAGCAGAAACCAAAUCUCAUUUGUCCCUCUGCACAUGAUAUAAUCAUUGAAUAAGUAGGUUUUCCAAGGCAUCAUGCAAUCAAGUAUCAAAGAUUUUGCAAGAAUGAAAAAAACACCAGAGGACCACAACCCAAAGGGAAGAAAGCUGCAAUCACAGGGAAAAUUGGAAUUGGGAUGCAGAUUUGGACACCAUUUCAUUUCCCACUAAGGAGCGGGACGUUGCCAACUCCACAGAUGACAGCUGUAAGGAUCACAGGUAAAAAACAAAGACUCCCAAACUCUAAGUAGAGCAUUCUGGAUACACUGCAGGAUUUGAAGAGUGGUGUGACAAACAACUGAAGCAUGUGCACACACACACAUACACAUACAAGGAGGCUUCUCCCUUCUCCCCUAUAGAGUUUCGUCCAACCUCCCCAAGUCCCAUGAAAAGCUGUAGAAGGUUCCUAUCAGUUUCAGGAGCACUAGAUGAGACUUCUACUGAAGAUGCUCGAUUUGACUGUGUUCUUACUUUCUACCUGGUUAAAAAAGGGACAACUACAUGGGCCAUGCAAUGCUACAUGACUCUGCCUUUUGUACAAGGAGACCAGCCUAAGACCAAUCCCAGCUAAACAAUGUAGCAUGUCAGGAGAGUUAUUACCAGGCCUGACCAAAGGUGACCCUAUUAAUGAUCCUGAUCAAAGACAGACCAUGAGAGGGGCUACUGCAUCCUGAUGAGGGAUGCCUUUGAACUCUGGUAGCACUGCAAAUGACUGCAGGAAGAGAAUUCAAGCUCCUGAGUAUUCCCCAGGCUUGCCAAGUGCCAAAGAAAAUACAGCUGGGAUGGAUCCUCUGUGGCUGAGAUCAGUACUGACCUCACGGAACCACGCUUGUUUUGAGACAGCAGGGGUAAUAUUUGCAUGCUGAAUUUUUAUCCUGGAACGAUAAUCCAUUUUCAAACACACAAAAUCCACUCCCAAAUUAACCUAGUUACCUCUGGUGCUGUAAAUAGUAAUGGAGAUACCAUGCUUUUCCCUGCAGGACUCUCU